rnacentral:rRNA from 1 species
GACGAACGCUGGCGGCGUGCCUAAUACAUGCAAGUAGAACGCACAGUUUAUACCGUAGCUUGCUACACCAUAGACUGUGAGUUGCGAACGGGUGAGUAACGCGUAGGUAACCUGCCUGGUAGCGGGGGAUAACUAUUGGAAACGAUAGCUAAUACCGCAUAAUAUUGAUUAUUGCAUGAUAAUUGAUUGAAAGAUGCUAUUGCAUCACUACCAGAUGGACCUGCGUUGUAUUAGCUAGUAGGUGAGGUAACGGCUCACCUAGGCGACGAUACAUAGCCGACCUGAGAGGGUGAUCGGCCACACUGGGACUGAGACACGGCCCAGACUCCUACGGGAGGCAGCAGUAGGGAAUCUUCGGCAAUGGACGAAAGUCUGACCGAGCAACGCCGCGUGAGUGAAGAAGGGUUUCGGAUCGUAAAGCUCUGCUGUAAGAGAAGAACGGGUGUGAGAGUGGAAAGUUCACACUGUGACGGUAUCUUACCAGAAAGGGACGGCUAACUACGUG